GUGGGGAAUCUUGGACAAUGGGGGCAACCCUGAUCCAGCCAUGCCGCGUGGACGAUGAAGGCCCUAGGGUUGUAAAGUCCUUUCACCCGUGAAGAUAAUGACGGUAGCGGGAGAAGAAGCCCCGGCUAACUCCGUGCCAGCAGCCGCGGUAAUACGGAGGGGGCUAGCGUUGUCCGGAAUUACUGGGCGUAAAGCGCGCGUAGGCGGAUGGUCAAGUCGGGGGUGAAAUCCCGGGGCUCAACCCCGGAACUGCCUCCGAUACUGGACGUCUGGAGGACGGAAGAGGCGAGUGGAAUGCCGAGUGUAGAGGUGAAAUUCGUAGAUAUUCGGCGGAACACCAGUGGCGAAGGCGGCUCGCUGGUCCGUUUCUGACGCUGAGGCGCGAAAGCGUGGGGAGCAAACAGGAUUAGAUACCCUGGUAGUCCACGCCGUAAACGAUGAGUGCCAGACGUCGGGGGGCAUGCCCUUCGGUGUCGCAGCUAACGCAGUAAGCACUCCGCCUGGGGAGUACGGCCGCAAGGUUA
rnacentral:rRNA from 1 species